rnacentral:rRNA from 1 species
UACGAAGGGGGCUAGCGUUGCUCGGAUUGACUGGGCGUAAAGGGCGCGUAGGCGGUUUGCAUAGUCAGACGUGAAAUUCCUGGGCUUAACCUGGGGGCUGCGUUUGAUACAUGCAGGCUUGAGUUCGGAAGAGGGUCGUGGAAUUCCCAGUGUAGAGGUGAAAUUCGUAGAUAUUGGGAAGGACACCGGUGGCGAAGGCGGCGACCUGGUCCGAUACUGACGCUGAGGCGCGAAAGCGUGGGGAGCAAACAGG